AUUGAACGCUGGCGGCAGGCUUAACACAUGCAAGUCGAGCGGAGAUGAGGUGCUUGCACCUUAUCUUAGCGGCGGACGGGUGAGUAAUGCUUAGGAAUCUGCCUAUUAGUGGGGGACAACAUUCCGAAAGGAAUGCUAAUACCGCAUACGCCUUACGGGGGAAAGCAGGGGAUCUUCGGACCUUGCGCUAAUAGAUGAGACUAAGUCGGAUUAGCUAGUUGGUGGGGUAAAGGCCUACCAAGGCGACGAUCUGUAGCGGGUCUGAGAGGAUGCUCCGCCACACUGGGACUGAGACACGGCCCCGACUCCUACGGGAGGCAGCAGUGGGGAAUAUUGGACAAUGGGCGGAAGCCUGAUCCAGCCAUGCCGCGUGUGUGAAGAAGGCCUUUUGGUUGUAAAGCACUUUAAGCGAGGAGGAGGCUACCUGGAUUAAUACUCUAGGAUAGUGGAUGUUACUCGCAGAAUAAGCACCGGCUAACUCUGUGCCAGCCGCCGCUGUAACAC
rnacentral:rRNA from 1 species